AACGAACGCUGGCGGCAGGCUUAACACAUGCAAGUCGAGCGCCCCGCAAGGGGAGCGGCAGACGGGUGAGUAACGCGUGGGAAUCUACCCAUCUCUACGGAAUAACGCAUGGAAACGUGUGCUAAUACCGUAUACGUCCUUUGGGAGAAAGAUUUAUCGGAGAUGGAUGAGCCCGCGUUGGAUUAGCUAGUUGGUGGGGUAAAGGCAUACCAAGGCGACGAUCCAUAGCUGGUCUGAGAGGAUGAUCAGCCACACUGGGACUGAGACACGGCCCAGACUCCUACGGGAGGCAGCAGUGGGGAAUAUUGGACAAUGGGCGCAAGCCUGAUCCAGCCAUGCCGCGUGAGUGAUGAAGGCCCUAGGGUUGUAAAGCUCUUUCACUGGUGAAGAUAAUGACGGUAACCGGAGAAGAAGCCCCGGCUAACUUCGUGCCAGCCGCCGCCGUAACAC
rnacentral:rRNA from 1 species